rnacentral:rRNA from 1 species
UUAAGUCCCGUAACGAGCGCAACCCUUGUCCUUAGUUACCAGCACGUUAUGGUGGGCGACUCUAAGGAGACUGCCGGUGACAAACCGGAGGAAGGUGGGGAUGACGUCAAGUCAUCAUGGCCCUUACGGCCUGGGCUACACACGUGCUACAAUGGUCGGUACAAAGGGUUGCCAAGCCGCGAGGUGGAGCUAAUACCCAUAAAACCGAUCGUAGUCCGGAUCGCAGUCUGCAACUCGACUGCGUGAAGUCGGAAUCGCUAGUAAUCGUGAAUCAGAAUGUCACGGUGAAUACGUUCCCGGGCCUU